rnacentral:lncRNA from 1 species
CCUGGCUAAUGGACAGAACCAGAAGGAACCAUCUCUGUAGUCCCAGGUCAACUGGAAGUUGGAGCAGGAUGUACUGUGCGGCAGAGGGCAAGUAAACAAAUUCCUUGCAGCUGCUCCUUCCCUGGCCUGUGGAUGGGGCUAGGUUGACCUUCCCCCUACAAUGACGACCUUUGGGAGACAGGAGGUACCAGUAGUGUAGCGUGCGGGGGCAGGGGGAUCAUGCGGGGGCAGAGGCCUCGGUCCAGUAUACAUGAAGGAGUCUCCACCGCCAUCGUUCAGCCCCAGACACUGAGGUCCAGCUCCGAGGGCCUUCUGGCGGUUCCCUCAUUGCGAGAAGCGAAGCCACAGGAAACCAGGCAGAGGGCCUUCUCAGUAGUGACUCUCACCCUGUGGAACACCCUCCCACCAGAUGUCAAGGAAAUAAACAACUAUCUGACUUUUAGAAGACAUCUGAAGGCAGCCCUGUUUAGGGAAGUUUUUAAUAUCUGAUGUUUUAUAGUGUUUUAAUAUUCUGUUGGGAGCUUCCCAGAGUGGCUGGGGAGGCCUGGCCAAAUGGGUGGGGUAUAAAUAAUAAAUUAUUGUGAUGAUGAUGGUGAUGAUGGUGGUGGUGGUGAUUGUGAUUAUUGCUCCAGGCACACAAUUAGGAUGAUACAAACCAGCACCCCCCCCCAAUCCCCGGUGUGCACCCUCUGUGCCCUGUCCCCUCCUGGUGUGCCCCCUUGCCCAUCAGUAAUAAGUGCUGGGGCAGAGAACUCUUCAUGCCCCGUCCCUGCCUGGAGCACCAGCCUGGCCACAUCAGCGGCAAGGACUGGAUGAGCACCCUCUGCCUUUGCCUCCGGAGCUUGUGAACGCACCUGCCCCGGGAGCCGGCAAACAAUGCUACGCCCCUGGGAGGUACGGCCUCCCGCUGGCCUCUAGUCUUCUGUUUGAUGGAUAAGGCCAGAGUAGGGUCUCAUCCCCACUUCCAGCUGUCCCACCGCUUUUCCCUGGGGGACCCCACCUCUGAUUUGGAGCAAAUGUCAAUUGGGUUUUCUUUGGGGAAAGCAGUGGAGCAAAUGGAAGGCCACCGUGCUUUCUAGGCAUGGGGACAGUGGCAGGGCAGCUUGGAGCACGGAAACCAGCUCCCUGCAGCUGCUGCUUCUCUGGUAGAGGGAUUCAGUUCUCCUCCUUGCCAUUCUGUACUUCCUGAGAUGCAUGGCAUUCUUUCCACACUUCCCCUCCCCACUCCAAAAUCCCUUGACACAUUUCAAUGCUCCUUGUGGAUCCUAACUGACGCAUUUUGAUAAUACCCCCUUUGUUAUUAUAGUGGUACCUUGGUACUCAAACACCUUGGUUCCCAAACGCCAAAAACCCGGAAGUAAGUGUUCCAGUUUUCAAAAAAAAUUCAGAAGCUGAAUGUCCAAUACGGUUGUCAGCUAUUGUUUCCGGGGCGCCUGCACCAAUCAGAAGCUGCACCUCAGUUUUCGAACAUUUCAGAAGUCAAACGGACUUCUGGAACAGAUUAAGUUUGGCGCUUUUGUUUUUGCUAUUUAUUUUGUGUUUUUGUGGCUUUUUUUGGUUAAUUUGUUUUUGUGACUGUGUGGAACCCAGUUCAGCUACUGAUUGACUGAUUGUGUGACUGCGGAAAUGGAUAAAAGCCCCACAUCCAAACCAUGACUAUCAUCAGUGCAGGUAAGGGAAAAAAUUAAUUUUAUUUUUCAACAUCUACAAUACUGUCUUAUUUAUUUUAUAGUACAGUACAUUGAUUAUUGCUUUCACUUUAUGGAUCAGUGGUCUCGUUAGAUAGUAAAAUUCAUGUGAAAUUGCUGUUUUAGGGGUUGUUUUUAAAAGUCGGGAAUGGGUUAAUCUGUUUUGCAUUCCUUUCUAUGGGAAAGCGUGUCUUGGUUUUGGAACGCUUUGGUUUUUGAACGUACUUCCGGAACAGAUUAAGUUUGAGAACCAAGGUACCACUGGAUUAUUUAUUUAUUUAUUUAUUUAUUUAUUUAUUUAUUUAUUGAAUUUAUAUACCGCCCCACACCCGGAGGUCUCAGGGCAGUUUUCAGGACUGGAAAUCCUGCUGCUAUCUCCUGAGAUCCUCUUUAGCUUUAUGCUCAUCCCCGCCUUGUCAUCCUGGGCCAAUAAUGCUCUGAUUAACUUUCAGAGCCUGCUUAUUAGGCAUCAGGGAGCCGCUUCUGGGUUUUAAGGGACGGCACAGCAAUAUGGCUCAGGUUUAUAGAUUCAUAUGUUGCAUCACAUUCAUAUUUGAUUAUGUUUUCUCUGCUGGGAAUAUUAAAAAGAUUAUUGCAUUCCUUUUGUUCUAGCUUCUUCCACAAAACCUGUGUGCAAUGAUGUAGGAUGCAUUGGGUCUAGUGAUAAGGGCUGCUUUUGCACAUGAAGGUGGGGAGAAAUUGUGGCUCUCUGGGAAAAGGCUGCCACAGGGGCUUCCAUACAACAGAUUAACACAAGACAGUCCUGCCCACAGGGUUAACAUCUAAAAGGCAUGACACACAAGGGGAAAGGGACAGGGAGGGAAGAGGAAAAAAGCAAACUCAGACAAUGAUUCUUAAAUAGAAGUUCAUGCCAGCUAGCAUAGAAACAGCCUGAUGGAGCUAGUCUUUCAGAAAGGCUGAUGGAAUUAGUCCUGCUUCUCAUCUCUCCCACCAAGGCAGCCAGACCACCAUUCGCAGUAUUUGUUUUUCCCAUGAAACUAGACAGGAACACAUAGGAAUCACGAACGCAGCAUAGUCGUUAUUUUUAUUCAUAUGCUUAAGAUAAUUUAUUUGCCUUCCUUUGCAUGAACCACAAGGUGGUUUACAACAAGGCAAACAGACAGAAAUCAAUAAAACCCAUCCAACAGCACAAUCGUUCGAAAAACAUGCAACAAAUAGCAAAAGAGAAAUGACUGAUCAAAGUAGCAGCAAUUGGAUCUCUCCUGCUCCAAACACUCGCUGAAAAAGAUUCAUCUUAACUAACCAUUUAAAAGUACAGAGAGACGGGGUCAGGCACACCUUACUAGGGAGGUGAUUCCACAUAUGAGGAGCUGCCACUGACAGGGAACAAGGGUUCAGGCAGGGGAUAUCCACAGGAGAGAUACCACAGGGUAUUGAACCAAGGCCUUCUGCAUGAAAGCAGAUGCUAUGCACUAAGCCAUGGGCCCUCAGUUAUCUUAGUAAUUUCCUGCUUUUGCUGGAAGUGGGUGGUGGUGCACAAGCCGAGUCCCCACCAGGUAUUUAUCAGUUGCAGUGACGUAGCAUGGGUUGUCAGCACCCGGGACAGCGCAGAGCAGGUGGGUGGGUGGAUACGAGGGGAAAGGAUGAAGCACGCAUGUGCAUUCAACUGCCUUUUGGCUUCCAUGUCACCCAGGAGAUUGCAGUCACAGAGAUAAGAAAAGAAGAGUUGUUCCGUUGUCCAGGGAAAUCAUUUCUUGGUUUGUAUGAAGAAGCCAUUUUCAGCGGAACUGUAUUGAGACAGCACUGAGUGUUGAAAUUUUGCACCCCCUAACAAUUUUACGCCCGAGGAAACCAUCCCUGUGCCCCCCCCACACACACACACACUACGCCACAGGUCAGUUGACACUCUCUUUUUCUGCUUCUGCUUCUUUCUUUCUUUCAGAUGCGGCAGCCAUUUUGUGCCUCGUCAUACCCACCCAGCAGCCAUUUUGUGAUAGACACCCAUGGCACUUUCUCAACAUUCCAAACAUGCCAAAUGUCCCCUCUCAAAAAAAAAUAUCUUGCUAGCUUUUGCUUGUCAGUGCCUCGCUUCCGGGGCUCCUGAUCCAAACCUGAAAACAUCCGACACUUAGAUAACUUGCAUGCUGGGCCGACGUGGACUGAUUUGGUGACAGCCCACUGAAACCCUCCUCAGGAUCCUCAGCUUCCAAGUCUUUGAGCUCCUUCUACCACUCGUGAUGGAAGUGGAAGGACAUGAACUGGCAGGACAACAGGGAGGAGGGGGGAGAUUCUGGCAAGGGGUAUAGCUGAGACUAGGACACACUUGGGCAAGCUGGGAUGGGAAAGAGAAGUUUGUGUAGGAAGUACUCACGGGGUGACGAAGGGUGACAAGGGGGUCAAUUGGGGUCAAUGCACAGGAACCAGAGCAGCAGGGCUGUCAGGUAGCAGAGGAACCAACCCCCAUGGCUGGUUGCCAGGAACGGAUAAGACAAUGGCUCAGGACAGCAAUACCUCAAGGACCGCCUCUUUCCAUAUGAACCUUCCCGGACCCUGAGAUCAUCUUCUGAGGCCCUUCUUCAUGUGCCUCCUUCUCAAGAUGUCCGGAGGGUGGCAACACGAGAACGGGCCUUCUCUGCAGUGGCUCCCCGUCUCUGGAAUGCUCUCCCCAGGGAAAUUCGCCUGGCGCCUUCAUUAUUUACCUUUAGGCACCAGGCAAAAACAUUCCUUUUUAACCAGGCCUUUGGUUGACCUGAUGGACAUCCUAUACCCUUUUAAAAUGUGGCUCUUGGGGGGGGGGGCUGUUACUGAGUUAUUGUUCUUAUUUUGAUUUUAUAGAUUGUGAUUUUAUUCUGUGAACUGCCCUGAUACCUCUGGGUAUAGGGCAGUAUAUUUAUUAAGACAAGGAAAAGUCCUUACCAUCUGCUUUUUAUUCAAUAUUUACAGAGAGAGGCUUGGCAAUGCAACCUCUUGGAAUAAUGGCGUUGUCCCGAGUAAAUCUAUACCCCCUCUUCUCUCCCACUUCCUCAUUGGUCAACAGCACACACACCCCUUUACGGGUGCCGCUACAUGCCCUCUGUCUUUGAGCUCUUUGCUCUCCUACUUUUAAGGCUCCCCAGAUUCUAGGAGAUGGUGGGUCUGGAAUGCUUUCUAGUAAUAAUGUGGCAGCCAGCUGCUUUGACUCUGCCUCCUCCUCCUCUCCCAUUAUUUCCCAACUUUUCCCUUCAUCUUCCUCUGAGCUGUGACCUCCCUCAAACCCCUGCUGUAAUUUCUGAACUGUCUUCUUCUUCUUCUCUGGAAGGGUCAGGCUGGGGAGGUGGUCUGCACUAUCCCUCCUCUGCCCAGUCCCUGACAAGGGCCCAUCACCAGAGCUAGAGGGGCCCCAGUCUCCUAGAACACGGCAGGCUUUCAGGCAUAAGGAGCAGCAGGAGUGAUGCUCUAGGAGGUUCAGGCGGGCAAGGACCCACAGCCCAGGUCACUAGCUGGCCAGGUGGGGCUUGCUAGCUCUGGGAGGAGGUGUGUGAUUCCUCAGCUGGAAUAGGCUCAGGACAGGUGAGGGUCACCUGCCUCCUCAAGCCCAGAUGCUGCGGUCAGCAUUCAAAGUAUAAAAGGGCAGCAGAGCUGAGGUGCUGUGUCUGCUCAUCUGCCCAUGUUGAUGGACCUCAGCUUGAAUCUUUGCAGGACUUUGGACCUGUGGAUUGACCCUGAACUGGGGGCUUGACAUACUAACUUGCCACCAGGUAGGCCAGGGGUUCAGGACACUGAUCCAAUUGCGGUUCUGCUGCGGUCCUGAGUCCCUGCAGGACGUCUCCACGGGACUUGCAAUGCUGUAGUCACCAGAUGGGUACCAUGAACCGCUCCCAGUGGGCACUUCCAGCCCAGAAGGCAGAGAUCAUAGCCCUAAACCACAGCAGUGCAAUUGGCGGGAGGCUGGAUAAUAAUAUAAUAAUAAUUUAUUAUUUAUACCCUGCCCAUCUUGCUGAGUUUCCCCAGCCACUCUGGGUAGCUUCCAACAAAAGUUUAAAAAUACACUAAAACAUCAGUCAUUAAAAGCUUCCCUAAACAGGGCUGCCUUCAUAUGUCUUCUAAAUGUCAGAGAGUUGUUUAUUUCUUUGACAUCUGACGGGAGGGCAUUCCACAGGGCAGGUGCCACUACCGAGAAGGCCCUCUACCUUGUUCCCUGUAACCUCACUUCUCGCAGUGAGGGAACCGCCAGAAGCCCCUCAGAGCUGGACCUCAGUGUCCGAGCUGAACGAUGGGGGUGGAGACGCUCCUUCAAAGCAUGCUCUCACAACACUUGAUCCUCAUGGGGCCUGAAGGAAAGGGGCCAUCCCAAAUCUACAGGAAAGGCAGUAAAUUAUGUCUCAGAAAUCAUUGCUGUCCUGGAAGCAGCGUGGACCACCUAGGAGGUGGCAGUAGUCCUCUGCCAAGCACAACAGAAAGGACAAAUUGAAAUCAAAAGGAAAAUGAAGGACAGAUUUGGCAGCCAAAGCAGCUGCAGAAUGGGAAUCACCUGAGAAAGGAGCUGUCAGCGUUGAGGAACAAGUUAUCAUCCCUGUAUUAUUGUGUGGAAUGUCUUGGGUUCUUGUCAGAAUGAGGUCCAUUUUGGUGGGUGCCAAGGUGAGUGCCUCAGCCACCCACAGCAAACCGUGCCAUCUGCAGUCAGAGUUCCCCUCAGACUACCUGGUGGCUUUUGUAAUACAGUAGUACCUCGGGUUACAGACGCUGCAGGUUACGGACACUUCAGGUUACAGACUCCGCUAACCCAGAAAUAGUACCUUGGGUUAAGAACUUUGCUUCAGGAUGAGAACAGAAAUCGUGUGGCAGUGGCAGCAGGAGGCCCCAUUAGCUAAAGUACCUCAGGUUAAGAACAGUUUCAGGUUAAGAACUGACCUCCAGAAUGAAUUAAGUUCUUAACCCGAGGUACCACUGUACCCCUCUUCCACUCGGUGGAAUGCAAUGUUAUCAUUCUUUAUCAUGAUGAGGUCCAUUUGGGUGUAAUGGCAGUUCUCUGCAACUGGAGGCAAACUCCAUCUUUCACUUAGCAAACGGGAGUCGGAAGGGGCCGUGACGAUAGAUCCCUGUUUGACGUUGUCGGCAGGUUGAGUCAGCCACGAGCAGCACCGUCUCGGGCACCGUUCAUUUUUCAUUUUCACCGCCUUGCCUUCAUUUCACCACUAAUCUAAUCCUUCUGCCAACGCUCCGUUCCCUGAUGGCCGCAGAAACUCCCCUCUUGCCUAUACAUGCGAUAUUACUCCUAUAGAUCACCGCUUUUAGAAUUUAAAGUUGUAAUUACUGCAAAGUAUUUACUUGGUAAUCUGGAAACAAACUCCCUCUUUUUCUUCCCUGCCACCGGUCCAGCCGUCUUCGCAGCCAUCAUGAACUGCCAUCUCAACCGGCACAUGCCUGGAAUGCCAAUAACUUUCCGGGAAGGGUCCCUGGACUGCAAUCGCUGCAGUCACGGGCUCUGACUGCCAGAGUGAACUUUAACAAAAUCAAUUGAAUCCAGAGGACCAAUAUGAAUGCUGUUGAACUUUGGACUAUUAUCUGAAAUAACUGUGACUGACAAAAACGGUUCUCUGGGUAACCUUAUGCGGGCUCUCGCACAGCCCCUUUAGCGAGACCCGUUUAUUGAGAGAAUCCCACGGGUAAUUAAGUGGCCGCUGAUUGCCUUGAAAUAUUACGCGGCCAAGAAAAAUGAUCCCUUUCUCUAAUGACAGCCAGGUACCAUUUUCCUCUAAAGGUGGAUAAAGGGCUUCCUCUCUCCCUUUCUCAGGAACAAGUGCUGAGAUUCAAUUUCUGUCUCUCUCUCUCCCGCGCUCCCAUUUUAUUCCAUUGUGCGAAAGGCCACGGUUUUCAAGCUGGGGGCGGGGGGAAUCCCUUUAUGCAGCAUUGUUCAUUUUAAACUUCUGCUGAAUAGGAGCUCGCUCCAGCUUUAUUCCUAGAGGCAUACGAGAAAUGCCUCUGAAUCUGUGUCUUGGGUGGAGUUGCUGCUGAGAGCUCAGCUUUGCUGCUUGCGGGAAACGUCGGGUCUGCCCCUAACCAAGGCCUGCAGUAGAUCUGCUGGCUGGGAUGACUUCACUUAUAACAUAUGCUCCAACUUUUCCCAAGAUAAAUCCGGAACAUCGCCCUAACUAGUGGCAUCGCAAGGGGGGGCCAUGCACCCCGGGUGCCGUGUCUGGGGGGGUGACAAGAAGGCACCCCGCAGGGUGCUCGCCCUGCCGCCCCGGGCGCGGUGGCACAAGAAGCCAUCACGCCGCCUCAGCCACGUGUGGAGGAUCCUCCGUUCACGGAUGCAGUAGCGAGCAAAGGAUCCUACCCCUGCACAGGCCACUUCAGCCCGCCACUGCCACUGCCACUGCCACUAUCCCUAUCCCUGUGUGGCCUAGCCACUCACACUGCCACCCGCAUAGGCUACAUCAGCCUGCCACUGCCACCCUACCGCUCGCCUCCCUGCCCGCUCAGUCCACUUUGGCCCACCAUGGCUGCUGCUGCCACCCCACCACCCUGCAACCUUACCUUCACCAGCUGGGCUCUCUCUUCUCCCAAGCCGCUUCCAGAAAGGCGUCAGCGGACGUGGCUGAGACCUAGAGACAGAGGAGGCUUUGCCACAGUGGCUGUGGAGGCAGCCUUGGCCUCGCCUUGGCAGUGGCAGAGGAAGUGAGACAUCUGGGAAUUAAAACAGAAGCCUUUUGUAGAUCCAGGAUGUCCCAUUCAAAGUGGAGCAGGUGGAAGGUCUAUUAUAAGGUGGAAGUGUGUGGCAAAGUGGAAGAACAGCUGUUUGCAUGCAGAAGGUCCCAGUUUCAAUUGCCAAUGGCAUCUCCAGCUAUGGCUGGGAAUGUCCCCUACCUGAAACCCUGGGGGGUGGCUGCCAGUCAGUGUCAACAGCACUGAGAUGAAUGGAUCAAUAAUCUGGCUCAGUUAAAGCUAUCUUCCCAUGUUCCUAUUUGGGAAGGGCCGAAUAGCAGAACAUCUGCUUUUCAUGCAGUAGGUCCCAGGUUCAGUUCCUGGCAGAAUCUACAGGUUCGGGCUGAGAAUGUUGUCAUUGAAUUCUAUUCAGUAUUGAUCCAGAGUACUGAUCCAUAAAGAAGGCUGAUCACCGAAGAAUUGAUGCUUUUGAAUUAUGGUGCUGGAGGAGACUCUUGAGAGUCCGAUGGACUGCAAGAAGAUCAAACCUCUCCAUUCUGAAGGAAAUCAGCCCUGAGUGCUCACUGGAAGGACAGAUCCUGAAGCUGAGGCUCCAGUACUUUGGGCACCUCAUGAGAAGAGAAGACUCCCUGGAAAAGACCCUGAUGUUGGGAAAGAUGGAGGGCACAAGGAGAAGGGGACGACAGAGGACGAGAUGGUUGGACAGUGUUCUCGAAGCUACCAGCAUGAGUUUGACCAAACUGCGGGAGGCAGUGGAAGACAGAAGUGCCUGGCGUGCUCUGGUCCAUGGGGUCACGAAGAGUCGGACACGACUAAACAACUAAACAACAACAACAACAACAACAUUGAUCCAGAGUAGAUUCCAAUGUAUAGUUAGCAGAGUAAAAACUUAACACAUUGCAGAAUUCCCCAAAAAUGUGCAGAAGCAGAACUUCCCUUCAAUAGACCAGAGACAAUUAAUAUUUCAUGCAGCAGAGCUUUACUGCUACUAAAGGCAAAUGAGCAUAAUGGUCACAAAUCCAAUACAUUCGGGAUUGGCACUGUCCAUAAACCUUAACACUAAGCAUAUUAUGUGCAGAACACCACAGCAGAAGGAAAAAGAGAUAGAAAAGAGUGAAUCCCAGGCUCCUCCUGGCCUUACUUUUAUAGACAGCAUGACCUUGACACAAAGAGAUAACAGAACCAGUUUAAGCCAGCUGUACUCCACUUCUCCGAAGUAAUAACCCAAACAUCAUGAACCUUCUGCAACUUUCUUUCACACAGAGAAGUCUCCAGAACCCUCUUGAAUGAAUUAGAAUAGGAAAGAUCUCUGCACAUCAGAUCAAUACUUUCUGCACCAGGAAAAUGCAAAUUGGCAAAUGUCCCCUGCUUGAAAACCUGGAGAGCCACUGCCAGUCAGUGUAGACAGUACUGAGGUAAAUGGGCCAAUGGUCUGACUUAGUAUCAGGCAGCUUCCUGCGAUCAGCUACACCAAGCCAAGAGGCUUGAAUGGGUCCACUAACACUCCUUAUGCAGACUUGCUCAGGUAUCUGCUUUUCCUGGCCACAAAUGAGCUCCACCUCAUCCCACCCUCAACUGCAAGGUAUCCAGGUCUGUCAAUUGGCCUUGCCUGAAACUCAGUGCUCUUCCUCUCUUUGCUCAACACUCGCACACAGCGCAAGCACAAGCACAUCUCUGCUCCAUCACUUCCAAAUUCCUUUUUUUUCCCCAUGACAAUCAGAGACACAGCAUGCAACGUGUGGCUGAAAGCCUCCAAAAUAUAACUUUUCCCAGAGUAAUUACUUUUGAUUUACUUGCAAUAAAUACACUACUGUAUUUUUUGCCCCUUUCCAAUAAUUGAACUUAUUUAUUUUUAACAAAGAUUAAAUGUCCUUCUGGAACUCGGAAUGAAUGGAACCUGCCUGUAGGGAAUCGAUAUCAAAUCAUUCACCAUGGCUGGCUCGCUCUCACCCUCAUACACUUCCUAAAGUUAAUCAUGCCCCCAAAGUCUCUCCUGAGAGCUUCAUACUGAAACCAAACUUUAUACACAAUUGCCUGGGGGAUAUAGGCAUAGCCAUAUCUCCUAUAAUCAUUUCUAUAUUACGGAUGACCAACAGGUUAGUUAGUUAUAUACAGUGGAACCUCGGUUGUCAAAUGUUUCGGAAGUUGAACAUUUCGGCUUUCAAACGCCGAAAACCCGGAAGUGAAUGCUUACGUUUUCAAACGUGCCUCAGAAGUUGAAUGGCUUCUUAGUCAUGUUUCUCCAUUUUGUCAAUGGAUUUUGCCGACCGGCAAUUGUGCCUCAGUUGACGAAUGUUCCGGAAGUCGAACAGUCUUCUGGAACGGAUUACAUUCAACAAUCAAGGUUCCACUGUAUAUAGAUGAUAUGCAAUGUCCAGACUCUUAAUAUUCAAAAGAACUUUACUUUCAUAAACGUAUACCGUAUUUUUCUCUCUAUAAGAGGCACCAGACCACACAACGCAUCUAGUUUUUGGAGGAGGAAAACAAGAAAAAAAAUAUUCUGAAUCUCAGAAGCCAGAACAGCAAGAGGGAUCGCUGUGCAGUGAAAGCAGCAAUCCCUCUUCCUGUUCUGGCUUCUGGGAUAGCUGCGCAGUAUGAUGAACCCGGGGUUACCGAGAGGUGUGGUCAGAGUCCAGUCCUGGGUCGAGGGUCUGGAGACUGUCCACCAAGGGCGAAGCGGGGUCCAAAGCAAGAAGCCGGGCGUGGUCAGGAACUCCGGAAGAACAGGUCUGGGUGCUGGCAGAAACAGGUUUCCAACGACGUUGCUCCCGCAACUUGGGACUGGGCUGACUGGCCUUUAUCUCCUCUGAGGCCAGGGGCGGUCCCGGCCCACAGGUGACCCGCCUCUCCUGGCCUUAAGGCGAGCACUCCUCCUGAGAGAAUUUAGUUCCCUCCACCUCUCUGCCCUGAGCCUCUGCAGCUCAGGAGAGGCUGGAGGGUUACUGGACCCAGGAGCAGCUUCACCUUCCCCUGACAGGGCUGGGAGAGGCGCACCUGCAGGCAAUGGGUCCUCAAUCACCUCCGGAGCCAGAGUGGAUACAUCUGGUGUCUGCUCCUGAGGACCCGGCACAGGUGCAGGCCCUUCAGAUUCAAGCCCCUGCCCCAGCUCAGCCGGCCCUGGAGGUGGGGACUCCUGUGCAGGCUGGAACUCCUCAGAUUCAGCUUCUGAAUCAGAUUCCCAGGCCAUCACACGCAGCCUGCAUUCACUCCAUAAGACACACACACAUUCCCCUUACUUUUUAGGAGGGAAAAAGUGAGUCUUAUAGAGCAAAAAAUACGGUAACUGAGAAAACAUAUCUUAUGCUUAUUCACUUCGUUCCUUUAAGAGAGCAUAGGUUUCUCCCCAUUAACAUUUAGGGUUCUUCCUCUGCUUCAGCCCAGGCAGACCACACUGAAACACACUGUCCACACUGAAACCUCUAUCAGCAGCCAUUCUCCCUCACACGCAGAGAGAGUGAAGAAGAGAAAACAGUUAAAAAUAACAGUUACUUGAAUAACAGUCACAACAGAAUGGAACGCCUCUCUCAUGUGACUCACAGUCAGCCAAUCGCAUGCCAAAGGAAAAACCCCACACUAAAAAUAGACAGCAAUUCAACAUAAGCAAACACUUCCAUUUCAGGAAAUUAAAACCCUCAAGCAGGACCUGAGCACAAGAGCCCUCUGCCUUCCUGCCAUUUCCAGCAACUGGUAUUCAGAUGUUUUACUGCCUCUGACCAAGGAAGCAGAACAGAGCCAUCAUGGCAAGCGGCCAUCAAUAGCCCCUGCCAUAGAGCCAUAGCCCCUAAGCUCACAGACUCACCAGUUUAAAAUGAUCUUCACUAGUUAAUCAACUCUGCUUGCAGUGGGCUAAUCUACCAGUUAAAUGGACUGAAGCACCCAUUCAUUCAUUCAUUCAUUCAUUGUUUAGAUCCCCUGUGAUUCACAACAGUACACAAUUGUUCUUCAGUCCUAGGAAAGGUCACACAUUUCCAUGCACAGGGCACCUUCAAGGGGUGGGGACUCUCUAUUCUUUUUUCUUCUUAAUAGCAGGUGUCUUGGAUGACAGGUCAAUUCCCAGAGAUGUGAAACCGUUUCCCUCCUGGCCCAUGAAUUAUUUUUUCGACAUCUAACCUGCCUCUCAACAGCACUUCCACGAAACCAUGAAGACCAACCGCUCCUUGAUGGCCAUGUAUCACUCCCCAAGCCAGGCAUGAUGCAGGCAGAGCCUCAGGGCCUGGAAAGCCAGGGACCGUUUGUCACUUUUCAGCCAUAAAAAAAUCAACCGGUCCCCGGAGGCCGCAUUUUGUUCUCCUCCGCUGGAGGAAUGCAUGCAAGAAGACUCAGAAAAUGCCAAAGAUUUCCCUUGGCCGCCGGGUCGCUUUUUUGCAGAACGAAUGGAAACUCCUUGUUCAGAGGGAGUGUGCCAUAUGCCGGAAGAAAUAUACCGGUACAUCCAAUCUAGGCUCUACUGGUGUGUUGGCAGAGUAGCUAAAUUGCAACUAGGCAGCCAAAUCAUGUUCACCCCAGACAGGAGCCAGGUGAGUUUAAAAAAAAAAAAAAAAAGUUAAAAGCCUAAAGGGGUUUUUUUGGUCUAUCCUAUGUUGCUCUGCUUUAAACAAACAAACAAACAAAAAAACAGAGCUCUGCUCCACAGGCAGCUCAGAAAGGAUAUUGCUACAGGUUUUGGCUGCCUAGUUAAGCGCCGUGAUUAGUAUAAUCAAAGAAAUUGCCUUUGUACCAUAGAAGAAAUAAGUGAGCCACCUCCCUACCUGCCUAACAAUGGGCAGAGUGGUGUGAGCUGAGCUGGAAGGAGGUUGGAAGCUGGAGACACAGAGACCUGCUUGCUCAGCACUGGAUUCAAAUCUUUGACUAAUAGAGAAGUGAGAUCUGUUGGGGUGCUAGUGCUGUGAGCCCAUCUGUCUUGUGCCCAGGUUGUAUAUAUGUGUCAAUAAAACCAUAUAUCCUAAAGACAUGGUAGUCUUUGUGGACUUUCCUUCCAAGAAAACCUGGAUAAGUGCAAGGAAGCCCUGGAGUCUCUCGCUGGUUGAAGAUUGGGGUGGUGUGUAACAAUAUUAUAGGGGUGGGAAAGUUUCAGGAAGGAGCAGCCAAAAUGAUCAAGGAGCUGCAGCAAGUCCCCUAAGAGGGAAAGUGGCAGUAUUUGGAGUAUUUUAGGCCCUGGUGGGAACCACCACCACCUGUCUGGAAAAGAAUGUCCCUUGAAUGCAACUAAGCAGAGAGAGAGAGAAAGAGAGAGGGUGUGUGUCUUUGGCUUGUGACACAAACAGGCUGUUUCUGCUUAGCAGCAACUCAUUGAUUAACAAAGUCUGAUGCUUGCAAAUCUGGUAGCACACACACACACACAGAGAGAGAGAGAGAGAGAGAGAGAGAGAGAGAGAGAGAGAAACAAACCAUUUCUCCCCUCCUGGUGCAAAGAUGUUUGCAAGAGCAAUGAAUGGCUGAUGAGUAUCCCUGCUCUGUGUUUUUGUUUUCUUUUUCCUGCCUUAGAGAAAGAAACAGCUGGUGCCAUGACAAUCAAGGUUCCCUUUUCUUUCCAGCAGAGAGCAAAGUUGCCCAGGAAUGAUGAGUUUCAAAAGGGCUUUCAUGCUUAGGAGUUUCAGCUGGGGAAGAAGCAGAAGACGACAUUUGGUGGAUGGCAAAUCAACGCAGCUUUCACCUCUCGCUUUCUCCAGAAACUAACAGGGAUGUUUUUACUUCCCCAGUUUUCCGUUAUGUGCCAAGGCAGCUCCGCUUUCACUUCGGUCCUCCCUAAGCAUAAGAGUCAUGACAACAAAUAUUUGGGUGAAAUCAGGCCAGAACUUUAUUUACUACUACAGUAAGCGAUUGGGCAUAGGCAUUGGGUAGACCCCACCCCUUCUGGCCCACCUGAUGAAGAACUUAUGUUUUGGGGUCAACCAGUGAUAAGGGAGUCCCUGUGGCCCCUCGCCUCCCCCCCCCCCCGCUCUGGCAGCCAUUUUGCCUGUUAUCACCACCUACAAGCAAACCUUUCCAAAUAACUGUGAUCUGCAGCUGAACUGGUGGCUGGCUUCCUGUUUCCCCCAACUCCAUAAUGCCUAAGCAAGAAUCACAGAAUUGUAGAUUGGGGAGGGACCAUGAGGGUCAUCUAGUCCAACUCCCUGCAAUGCAGGACGACUCUUUUGCCCAGAGUGGGGCUUGAACCCACAACCCUGAGAUUCAGAGUCUCAUGCUCUGCCAACUGAGCUUUCCCAGCAACCAAACUCAGAUUAAUUAUAGUACUGAUAUAACAGAGGGUGAUGGACCUUGGGGUGAGGAAAAACCUGUCUGAUCUUUGGUCCUAGGGGUGAGCAAACCUGUCCAUUUUGAUUCCUGAGAAUCAAAAGAGAGAAUCCUGAGAGCCAGUGUGGUGUAGUGGUUAAGAGCGGUGGACUCAUAUUCUGGGGAACCGGGUUCGCUUCCCCGCUCCUCCACAUGCAGCUGCUGGGUGACCUUGGGCCAGUCACACUUCUCUGAAGUCUCUCAGCCUCACUCACCUCACAGAGUGUUUGUUGUGGGGGAGGAAGGGAAAGGAGAAUGUUAGCCGCUUUGAGACUCCUUCGGGUAGUGAUAAAGCGGGAUAUCAAAUCCAAAAACUACUCCUCUCAGUUUCCUACUCUUAGAAUAAUAGAAUCGAAGAACUGUAGGGUUGGAAGGGUAGCAGAAGGGUCAUCUAGUCCAACCCCCUGCAAUACAGAUAUCACAGCUUUAAAAAUCCCUGACAGAUGACCAUCCAACCACCAUCUAAAAAUCUCCAACAAAGGGAAGUCUUCCACCUUCCAAGCAGUGGGAAAUAAAAAUUAAUUAAAAAGGAGACAGUGACACCCAGACUGGGCGGCUGGGGACAGCACCAGAAAGCAAUGAAUCUUUUUGCACAGCGUUUCUCGGGAGAUAGGUUUUACCCUCUGAAAUUGCUAUUUUCCGCUUGAGAACUGUAACCUGGGGGGGGGGGUAUUCUAUGCAGUCCCAACUGAGACAAUAGUACCUUAAAUGUCUUGCUAGCAGUUUUCCUCAUUUGUGGACUGGGAGUUAAGUCUCCAUUUGUCUCCACGCACACACUACGCCCCUCUUAUUUUAUUUAUUUAGAAAGAUUUAUAGGCCACCGAAUCACAAAGCUUUCUAAGUCAAUGGUUCCCUAAGUAUGUAGUGGUGCCCCCCUGGAGGAGGGGCAGUGGUGAUAUUGCCUAGGGGUGUGCUAAGAGGCAAAGAGGAAGCAGGGGGAGACUGGAGGUGUAAAUGAAUAUCAGACUUUGAAAAGGCCAUUGGAUCAAGGUAACUUUCUUUAAUUAAUUAAAUAGCUUUAAUUGGAUUUUGAAUAAAUGUGCAAUUAAUUCUUACCAUUUUGAAUUCUACUGUGUUGUUAUCUUCCUUAGUGGGUCAGGCAAACUGCUAUUCUAAAUACAGUGGUACCUUGCUUGUCAAACUUAAUCCAUUAGUCCGUUCGACUCCCAGAACCGUUCGAAAACCAAGGCGUGGCUUCCAAUUGGCUGCAGGAGCUUCCUGCACUCUAUCGGAAGCCACGGAAGCCGCAUCAGAAGUUCGGCUUCAAAAAAAUGUUCGCAAACCGGAACACUUACUUCCGGGUUUGCCGGGUUUGGGAGCCAAGCUGUUCAGCAUCCAAGGUACCACUGUAAUGCUUUUUAUACAGUAAGGUAGGGGCCACUGGGGAUGAGUUCAUGGAGCCAAGUUGGUAGUGACCUGAAAAGGUUCGAGAACCACUGCCUAAGUGGUAUAUAUAAUAAAAACAGCAAAAAAAACUACAUUAAUGUGCAUAAAACAGUUAUCAAUAAAACAUGGCUAAAAAUCAGUGAAACCUGGAGCUUGUUUUAGAGUUUGGAUUUGAUAUCCCGCGUUAUCACUACCUGAAGGAGUCUCAAAGCGGCUAGCAAUCUCCUUUCGCUUCCUCCCCCACAACAAAAACUCUGUGAGGUGAGUGGGGCUGAGAGACUUCAGAGAAGUGUGACUAGCCCAAGGUCACCCAGCAGCUGCAUGUGGAGGAGCAGAGAUGCGAACCCGGUUCACCAGAUUACGAGACUACCGCUCUUAACCACUACACCACAUUGGCUCUCUUAGCCCUUCUUUCCAUUCUCUAGCAGACAAAUUUCCCUAUCCCCCCGCCCUUUUUAUCCUUCUCCCGCAGGAGCCUUUCUGAGGCAUCAAUCAAUUCCAACCUUGUUCAGCCAUUUCCUCUUCCCCGAUUCCUGACCCACCCCACCCCCAAGCCCUUGGAGUCAAGCUCAAAUCUGUAUUACAUGAAAGCACAGGACCCAGCCAGACCGUUAGGAAGUGGCUGUGGGAUUGGAGAGAGAGGCCUUCUCAGCACAGGAGCUGUGGAUUUGCACGCCUUAGAAACCAGGAAGGUUGCCAAAACAUAUUCUUAAGGAAUCAGAAGGAACAAAACAGAACAGAAAGGGCUCAAAAGGAGCACUGGCAACUCCACAGUGCAAAAGAGAGAGGUAAGAUUGCUACAAUUCCAAAUUGGAUUGUUGUAGUACACUCUACAUGGAGCUGCCCUUGAAGAUGACUCAGAAACUUCAGUUGGUACAAAAUGCAGCAGCCUGGGGACUGGCUGGGGUUCUGUUUAGAUCUCAUAUAAACCCUGUUUUGGGACGCAGGUGGCGCUGUGGGUUAAACCACAGAGCCUAGGGCUUGCCGAUCAGAAGGUCGGCGGUUUGAAUCCCUGUGACUGGAUGAGCUCCUGUUGUUCAGUCCCAGCUCCUGCCAACCUAGCAGUUCGAAAGCACAUCGAAGUGCAAGUAGAUAAAUAGGUACCACUCCGGCGGGAAGAUAAACGGCGUUUCUGUGCGCUGCUCUGGUUCGCCAGAAGCGGCUUAGUCAUGCUGGCCACAUGACCCGGAAGCUGUAUGCCGGCUCCCUCGGCCAAUACAGUGAGAUGAGCGCCGCAACCCCAGAGUCGGCCACAACUGGACCUAAUGGUCAGGGGUCCCUUUACCUUUACUUAAACCCUGUUUUAAAACAGCUACUCUGUUUGUUUGCUUGUUUCCAGGCCCAAGUUGAGAUGGUCACAUCAGUGCUUAAAGCCCUAAACAUCUCAGGCCCCAAAUACAGUCAUACCUUGGAAGUCAAACGGCAACCAUUCCAGAAGCCUGUUUGUCUUCCAGAACUUCCGGAAACCAAAGUGCAGCUUCUGAUUGGCUGCAGGAAGCUCCUGCAGCCAAUCAGAAGCUGUGGAAGCCCUGUCAGAUGUUCAGCUUCCAAAAAUAGUUCACAGACCGGAACAGUCAUUUCCGGGUUUGCGGCGUUCAGGAGCCAAAAUGUUUGAGAACUAAGCUGUUUGAAAACCAAGGUAUGACUGUACCUGAAAGGCCACCUCCUUUCCUAGAGACCCCAUCAAGUGUUGUGAUCGGCAAAGAGGAUCCUCUUGGUAAUUCUGGUGCCCUCAGAAACUUAGGUGACCUGAGAGAGGCUGUUCUCUGUGAUUACCCCAAAGCUGUGGCACUUCCUCCCCACAGAAGUGCUUCCAGCACCUUCAUUAUAUGGCUUUAACAAAUGCUCAAGACCUCUUUACCCUGGCUUUUGAUGCUGGGGGUGUGCAUUUUUGGGGCCUACCUUAUUUCUGUGAUUUUGAGUUGUUUUGAACAGUUUUCAGUACAGUGGUACCUUGGUUCUCAAACGUAAUCCGUUCCAGAAGUCCGUUCCAAAACCAAAGCGUUCCAAAACCAAGGUGCGUUUUCCCAUAGAAAGCAAUGCAAAACAGAUUAAUCCGUUCCAGACUUAAAAAAAAACCCUUCAAACAGCAAUGUAACAUGAAUUUUACUAUCCAAUGAGACCACUCAUCCACAAAAUGAAAGAAAUAAUCAAUGUAAAGGUAAAGGGACCCCUGAUCAUUAGGUCCAGUCGUGACCGACUCUGGGGUUGCGGCGCUCAUCUCGCUUUAUUGGCCGAGGGAUCCGGCGUACACCACCCGCGGACUAUAAAAUAAAGAAGACAGUAUUGUAGAUUUUUUAUAUAUUUUUUUUUAAAAAAAUCUUACCUGCACUGAUGAUAGUCAUUAUUUGGAUGGGAGACUUCUAUCCAUUUCCUCAGUCGCACAAUCAAGCAGUAGCUGAACUGGGUUCCACAGUGUCACAAAAACAAAUUAACCGAAAAAGCCUCAAAAACAAAAAACGCAAAACAAAUAGCAAAUACAAAAGCACCAAACUUAAUACAUUCCGGAAAAUCAUUUGACUUCCAAAAUUUUCUAAAACCAAGGUGCGGCUUCUGAUUGGUGCAGGCACCCCGGAAACUAUAGCCAACAACCACAUUGGACGUCAAGCUUCCAAAAAAUGUUCAAAAACCAGAACACUUACUUCCGGGUUUUCGGCAUUGGGGAACCAAGGCAUUUGGGAACCAAGGCACCAUUGUAUUGUGCUUUAUUGUUGUAACCUGCCCUGGAACUUUAGGGUGAAGGGCAGGAGAACAACAAACAACAACCGUUUAAUAAUGGGGAGCCCAUAUUGCACAACACUGGCCUCCCAGAGCAGGCAGUCUUCACAGGGAUGCUGGUGAGAGGGGAGGGCAUGAAGGCUGGCGCAAGCAGCAGCAAAUGCAGUUAGCUGUCCCUCAUUUUCUUCUGGUGCUCCUUUCCCUCCCCACAUGCAGUGAUCGUCAUGACCUCAGGGACCAUCAGAAAUCCAACUAAGGAGCCUGACCAGGUGUAGGGGUUUGAGUCUGCUAAGGGAACUCAGGAGCCCACUGAGGCAGAGGAACAUGAGCCUGCAGAUGAACUUUCAGUGUCUGCAGGAUUAGAGAAUGGAUGCCCACGAACACCUUCCCCUGAAGAACCAAAUGCCACCC